UACGGAGGGGACUAGCGUUGUUCGGAAUUACUGGACGUAAAGCGCACGUAGGCGGAUAUUUAAGUCAGGGGUGAAAUCCCAGAGCUCAACUCUGGAACUGCCUUUGAUACUGGGUAUCUCGAGUAUGGAAGAGGUGAGUGGAAUUCCGAGUGUAGAGGUGAAAUUCGUAGAUAUUCGGAGGAACACCAGUGGCGAAGGCGGCUCACUGGUCCAUUACUGACGCUGAGGUGCGAAAGCGUGGGGAGCAAACAGG
rnacentral:rRNA from 1 species